rnacentral:lncRNA from 1 species
CCUAAAUGCUGUUUUCAUUCUUUGAAGAUCAAAGAAAGGACCUGGAAACAUCCUUUCAGCACCUCUAAAGGAGCUCUGCUCAAUUCAGGCAAAUUGCCAGGAAGAAUGAUUUAUGAGAUGGAGAUGGAGAAAAGAAAAAUGAAAUACAAAAGGAGAUGACAAGACCUGGAACAGACCCAGAGAUAAAAGUAAUGUUUUCAGGAUGGAAAAACCAACCUGUCAACUAUGAACUACUCACCUAUGGACCAGUAUAUGAGGA